UGUGAGGAGGAGUCAAUGCAAAACUCAGAUGUCUUCCACCUCUACUUAUCUGACUGCAGAGAGGAGGACAGAGGACAGUGGACACACAGUUUAACAUGAUGGACUAUAGGACAGGACUGCUGCUUUUAACCAUCUGCUGCUGGACAGGUGUUGAUGGUCAGACUCUGACAGAAUCUGAACCAGUGAUUAAAAGACCUGGAGAAUCCCACAGACUGACCUGUACAGCUUCUGGAUUCACAUUCAGCAGCUACUAUAUGAGCUGGAUCAGACAGGCUCCUGGAAAAGGACUGGAGUGGAUCGCUUAUAUCAAUAGUGGUGGUGGCAGCAAAUACUACUCCCAGUCAGUUCAGGACCGGUUCACCGUCUCCAGAGACAACAACAGACAGCAGCUGUAUCUGCAGAUGAACAGUCUGAGGACUGAAGACUCUGCUGUUUAUUAUUGUGCUCGAGAGCCACAGUGACUGGAGUUGGUUGAGCAGCUGUACAAAAUCCUACAGGACUCAUUCUGACUGGACUGAUA